UUGGAGUGAAAUAUAGUAACGAAGCCCGUGAGCCAUGCGUCAAGAAAAGCCGCUAUUGUUUAUAUUGUACCCGUACCGUAAACCGACACAGGUGGAUGAGGAGAGAAUCCUAAGGCCGGCGGAAGAAGUAUUGCCAAGGAACUCGACAAAUGGCCCCGUAACUUAGGGAGAAGGGGUGCCUGCGAGAGCAGGCCGCAGAGAAUAGGCUCAAGCAACUGUUUAGCAAAAACACAGGUCUAUGCGAAACCGAAAGGUGAGGUAUAUGGGCUGACGCCUGCCCGGUGCUGGAAGGUUAAGAGGAGAGGUUAGACGCAAGUCGAAGCUUUGAAUUUAAGCCCCAGUAAACGGCGGCCGUAACUAUAACGGUCCUAAGGUAGCGAAAUUCCUUGUCGGGUAAGUUCCGACCCGCACGAAAGGCGUAAUGAUUUGAGCGCUGUCUCGGCAAUACAUCCGGUGAAAUUGAAGUGCCAGUGAAGAUGCUGGCUACCCGCGCCAGGACGGAAAGACCCCAUGGAGCUUUACUCCAGUUUGGCACUGGGGUCCGGUGUUGCAUGUACAGGAUAGGUGGGAGGCUGAGAGAUAGUGACGUCAGUUGCUAUGGAGCCGCUGUUGGGAUACCACCCUUGUGAUAUUGGGCUUCUAACCAGCCGCCGUGAACCGGCGGUGGGACAAUGCCAGGCGGGGAGUUUGACUGGGGCGGUCGCCUCCGAAAGGGUAUCGGAGGCGCCCAAAGGUUCCCUCAGAAUGGACGGAAACCAUUCGAAGAGUGCAAAGGCAGAAGGGAGCUUGACUGCGACACCGACGGGUGGAGCAGGUACGAAAGUAGGGCUUAGUGAUCCGGUGGUAUUAAGUGGGAAUGCCAUCGCUCAACGGAUAAAAGCUACCCUGGGGAUAACAGGCUUAUCACUCCCAAGAGUUCACAUCGACGGAGUGGUUUGGCAUCUCGAUGCCGGCUCAUCGCAUCCUGGGGCUGUAGUAGGUCCCAAGGGUUGGGCUGUUCGCCCAUUAAAGCGGUACGCGAGCUGGGUUCAGAACGUCGUGAGACAGUUCGGUCCCUAUCCGGCGUGGGCGUAGGAUAUCUGAGAGGAGCUGUCCUUAGUACGAGAGGACCGGGAUGGACGGACCGCUGGUGGACCGGUUGGCUUGCCAAAGCCAUGGCCGGGUAGCCAAGUCCGGAAGGGAUAAACGCUGAAGGCAUCUAAGCGUGAAGCCCCCCUCAAGAUGAGAUAUCCCAUUCUUUAAGAAGUAAACCCCCUUGAAGACGACGAGGUAGAUAGGGCAGAGGUGGAAGUGUGGUAACACAUGGAGCUGACUGUUACUAAUCGGGUGAGGGCUUGACC
rnacentral:rRNA from 1 species